CAGGCAUAAGUUUUGUACAUGAGCUCGGCCCAUCAGUGUCAAAGCCAAGCAACCAAAUACAACCUAAAAAUAAUAUAAAUUUAGUGAGAAAAAUACUUGUUUCAUUUUUUUUUUGUUCUUUGCUAAAUGCUUAUAUUUAUUUUUUUUGGAAUUAACAUAAAAAGGCUGACAGUAAGAUUGUUAAAACUAAUAUGAUCUAGGGA
rnacentral:lncRNA from 1 species